GGCGGCAGUAGCGCGGUGGUCCCACCUGACCCCAUGCCGAACUCAGAAGUGAAACGCCGUAGCGCCGAUGGUAGUGUGGGGUCUCCCCAUGCGAGAG
rnacentral:rRNA from 2 species